GCUCGCAUCAUUGAACAGAUAGAUUGACAAUAACUUGAUAGAUAGACAAUAAAUAACCUGAUAGAUUGACAAUAACCUGAUGUUUUCAGGUGGAAUUUCAUUCAUUCAUUCAUUUUCACUGUGCAAUAUAAUUUUCCACUUGUGCAAUUUUGUUAAUAGUCUGUUUCUUGUCAAUACUGUAUAUACUGCUCCUAUUUUUAUACUUCCUUCUAUUUAAAUGGUUCAUAUUUUGUUACACUUUGUUUAGCUCUUUUUUUUUACUGUUAGCUGAUGCAUCUUGUUUUUUGCACUAUCCCCUUUUCUGCUGUACACUGAAAAUGUACCCACGCGGGACUGCGGCAUUUAAAAAGGCAAAUUAUUUUCCCGUUUGCAUUAGCAUUCAAGCCCCCAGGAAGAGCCCCGAAGGUUGAUCCCAAUUUUCGUAGUGACCAAACCUACAUCCAUGGGCCAAACGACGGUUCUACAACUUCUGUGUCCGUCACGUGAGGCCACUGGGCCCAAAAAGGUAUUUCCAUACGUUGACUGACUGACUGUGAUGCUGAACUUCAUCGAACAGAAAGAGCUCUUCGUCCUCCCACUAGUCUGAACUCAAGACCCUGUUGGACUUCACAGACGUACCAUUCCAGAUCUACCAGGAGCUUACAUGAGGACAAUUCUCUCUACAAGAGAUGUGAAGGAUGCAGGGACGCUCCACCUGAGACUUUAGAGCCUUACAUUUCCAACUAUACCCUCCCUAAAAAUGACGGCCAGUUUGCUCGCUUUAUUACUGUGUACGAGCCUUUGCACUGUUGCUCAAUAAAGUCCAUCAUUCUCUGCAGUCAUUAGAUCAGUCAUUUGUGUCCACAAGAAUUAGCACAAGUACAUACAUACACAUACAAGUAAAUACAUUCAUAUUUGAGAGCCUAGUGAAUUUUGUCAUUUUGAAUGCUAUAUUCUCUUCACACUUUUCUAAUUUUUUAUUUCAGUGUGACAGCAGAUACUUUUACAAACUUGUUACGUUUUGAUAAGUCACCCUUUAUAAAGGGUUUACAGGAAAUAUUUGAUGCCUUAAAAAAUGCUCAUGUAUCUCUCACAGAAAUGUUAGUAAGUUAUUAAUAAGGGGUCUUGACUUUCUCAAUUUCUAAUAAGCCAUCAGCAAAAGUUUGUCAGUCAACUGCAAAUUAUAAAUGUUAAUACAUCAUCAAUAAAUAAUUCUUAUAGUAAUCAGUCAAUCUUGAAGUUGUAUAUGUUUUAUGUAAUUUGAUUUUGUUCCUGACGCCCUGCAACCCUUUUUCAGAAAGCAAGUGUUCAAACAGUCAUCUUCCUGUCAGCUAAAAUAUAAAGUGCUAUAUAAAUGUCCACAUGGUGGUGCUAUCUCAUCAAAAUUAAUUUGUCCCCUUGUUCAUGACCUAACAUUCCACCAAAUGUCAUUGAGUUCUGUUCUGUUGGUUUUGAGAUGUCCUGGGAACAAACAAACCAGACCAAAUAGCCUACAUGUACUUUAUUUGGCUGUGUGUGAGAAAAUCAUUACUGAGUGUGUUGUUUAUUUUUGUCUUAAUACAAUCUGUACAGUUUACGGGGAGCAACUCUGUGUGUCUCUUUGAUUGUAUUUGCAUCUGACUGUGUGACUUAAUGACAGCUGCUAUCAGGCCUAACACAGGGGGCAGACGGAUGGCUUUGGAUGGAAAAUAUAUCAUUUUGUUACACCGAUAAUAUUUCAGAGAAAAGAAAAUCAAAAACAGGUGUAAGGUGACCCACAGGUACGCGGCGUCCUUUUUCAUGUCCCCUUGCAGCUGGAAAAUAAUGUCUAAGUAUUGACAAACAACCUUCCGUUACUCACAGACUACUUGAACAGUAACGAAAAUAAUUUGAUCCCUGAUCCCACUGAAUUUUGCUUCAUUUUAGAACUAUAUUACCUAGUUUGACAGCUUGGUUCAAGUUUCGCGAGCCUAAAGUCAUCAAAUUUGUGACUUGUGUCUGACUCGAGUCAAAGUCACGUGAUUCGAGUUCAGACGUCUGGAAGAAGGUAAACAGAGCAGAUCACCCUCACUCGAACCCUGAUCUCUCAUCUAGGCCUGUCUGCCUGAGGCAAGGCAAUAAAAGUAGUUAUCUGUGGUACAAUUAAAAAGUCCUGUUCGUAUUCAGUGAUGCAAACAUCUUCUCUCAUCCUUUUACUCUCUUCCCGUGA